UUGGUGUCAAAUGCCAACUCCGUGGCUCAAUCAAACACUUCCUUGUCCUAACAGUAAAAUAUCAACUGUAGGCAAUUGAAGGAAGGAAACCAGCAACGGCUUAUCUUCAACUCUAACACGCAAGAACAUACUCUCGCUCUCUAUCCAUAACUCUAUGUUGAAAUGGAACACUUGUCGUUGAAUCCAUCUUUGCAAAAUGAAAUCGAAAACGAAAAUUUGGGACUGCCUGAGAAAGAUAUCGGAAGCAAGGCCCAAGGAAAAAGAUUGUCAAGAAGGGAAUUUCAUGGCAGACAACUCCAUUUCCUGGAGAUGAAGUGGAAGUUCAUUUCAGUGGACAUAUUGAAGUUGGGGCGGGGCAUAUCUUCAUUCAAGUCGUGAUAAAGGGGUUCCUUUCAAGUUCAAAUUAGGCCAAGGCAAGAAAUGAACUCUCCAUAUUAAUGGUGAUAUAUCUGUAUUGUUGGCUAUAUGUAUAAGAAGUCUUUGUUUGAUAUUUGGGUUUCAGGUGAGGUUAUAAGUGGAUAGGAUGAGGGAGUUGCCACUAUGAAGAAUGGUGAGAGAGCAAGUUUUCCGAUACCGCCAAAUUUGGCCUAUGGGGAGGCUAGUUCUCAACUACGUACUGAUUCCUCCCAAUGCAACUCUUGUUUUUGAUGUUGAGAUCCUGUCAUGGAGUAGCAUCAGGGAUUUAACAGAUGAUGGAGGAAUAUUGAUGAAGAUAAUAAAGGAGGGUGAAGGAUGGGCUACACCAAAAGGUAGAGAUUAAGUUUUAGGUAAACUUCUGCUCUCUUGUAAUCAUUGUCUAUGCCUCUUUUUUUGAGAUGUAGUGAGUGGAUUAUCUACAAGAUAGUAAUGCCUUUCCAACACUGUAGUGAAUUAUGAGGCAAAGCUUGAGAAUGGAAUCCUUGUCUCCAAAUCUGAGGAAGGUUUGGAGUUUCAUAUAGGAGAUGGUUAUCUAUGUCCUGCAUUGAGCAAAGCAGUGAAAACAAUGACAAAGGGUGAGAAGGCAGAGCUAGCAUAUUUUUCAAAUAAGUAUAUUUGUGCUCUUUACCAUUAUAGAACAAGUGAACAACGGUUCAGACAGAGCCAUUAUGACUAUGAAGAAAGGAGAACAUGCCGCAGUGACCGUGGAUACCGAAUACCUCCGUGGCGGUGACGAUGCUUCCUGCAAAUUCCUUGCUUCAUUAUGAAGUUGAGCUGAUUGAUUUUAUCGAAGAAAUAACCAUUCUGGAAAAUUAGAAGCAAGUGGAAGGAAGAAGCUUGACGGAAAUGUGCUAUUCAAGGCAGGAAAAAUCUGGCGUGCCUCUAAGAAAUAUGAGAAGUAUUUGAGCUGCAGAAUUUGCUAGCUGCAAAUCCCAGGCUGCAAAAUCUAUAGAGUUCAACUACUCUUUCACUGACGAGGAAAUGUGGCUAGCAAAAAGCUCGAGGUUAUCAUGGUAUCUGAAUGAUGCAGCUUGUAAGCUUAAAUUAGGAGAGUACCUUGAAUAUUUUUUUUACUCCAUAAUUUCCCACAUUAUGUUAUAAUAAUGACAGGUCUUGGAACUUG